rnacentral:rRNA from 1 species
CUUGGUGCUUGCACCGAGCGGAAGAGUUGCGAACGGGUGAGUAACGCGUAGGUAACCUGCCUCUUAGCGGGGGAUAACUAUUGGAAACGAUAGCUAAUACCGCAUAAAAGUCGGCAUUGCAUGAUGUUGACUUGAAAGGUGCAACUGCAUCACUAAGAGAUGGACCUGCGUUGUAUUAGCUAGUUGGUGAGGUAACGGCUCACCAAGGCGACGAUACAUAGCCGACCUGAGAGGGUGAUCGGCCACACUGGGACUGAGACACGGCCCAGACUCCUACGGGAGGCAGCAGUAGGGAAUCUUCGGCAAUGGACGGAAGUCUGACCGAGCAACGCCGCGUGAGUGAAGAAGGUUUUCGGAUCGUAAAGCUCUGUUGUAAGAGAAGAACGAGUGUGAGAGUGGAAAGUUCACACUGUGACGGUAACUUACCAGAAAGGGACGGCUAACUACGUGCCAGCAGCCGCGGUAAUACGUAGGUCCCGAGCGUUAUCCGGAUUUAUUGGGCGUAAAGCGAGCGCAGGCGGUUAGAUAAGUCUGAAGUUAAAGGCUGUGGCUUAACCAUAGUACGCUUUGGAAACUGUUUAACUUGAGUGCAGAAGGGGAGAGUGGAAUUCCAUGUGUAGCGGUGAAAUGCGUAGAUAUAUGGAGGAACACCGGUGGCGAAAGCGGCUCUCUG